GAAGGCUGCGGCAAUGGAUUCUGCCGGGCGCAAAGCCGAACCGCCAUAAGGGCUGAUGAUUCCUAACCUUUU
rnacentral:ncRNA from 2 species